AACUUUUAGCAACGGAUCACUUGGUUCUCGCAUCGAUGAAGAACGCAGCGAAUUGCGAAAUGUAAUGUGAAUUGCAGAAUUUAGUGAAGCAUCGAAUCUUUGAACGCACCUUGCGCCCUUUGGUAUUCCGAAGGGCAUGCCUGUUUGAGUGUCAUUAAAUUCUCAACUUCAAAUCCUUUAUUGGAUUUUGAUGCUUGGACUAUGGAGGUCUUUUUGCAGGCAAAUACCACUUGUCAGCUCCUCCUAAAUGCAUUAGCGGAACUUUAAUGACCAGCUUAUCAGUAUGAUAAAUACUAUCUAUACUGUAGCUGUGGACUUAUUAUGUGUUCAGCUUCUAAUGGUCUUCGGACUGUCUCCUAGUGGGGCAUUAACUUUUAAGCUUGACCUCAAAUCAGGUAGGACUACCCGCUGAACUUAAGCAUAUCAAUAAGCGGAGGCU
rnacentral:misc_RNA from 1 species